UCUUGGUCAUUUAGAGGAAGUAAAAGUCGUAACAAGGUUUCCGUAGGUGAACCUGCGGAAGGAUCAUUACAGAAAGUAAACGCGGAUCAAACCGCGAACUUCUAAACCUUUGACGAUCGACUCAUGUUGCCUCGGCGGGUGCUCCCGCCAGAGGAUACAUCAAAACUCAUGUUUUAACGGUGUUGUCUGAGCUACAAGCAACGAAUCAAAACUUUCAACAACGGAUCUCUUGGUUCUGGCAUCGAUGAAGAACGCAGCGAAAUGCGAUAAGUAGUGUGAAUUGCAGAAUUCAGUGAAUCAUCGAAUCUUUGAACGCACAUUGCGCCCCUUGGUAUCCCGAGGGGCAUGCCUGUUCGAGCGUCAUUUCACCACUCAAGCCUGGCUUGGUGUUGGGCGACGUCCCCUUUGGGGACGCGCCUCGAAACGCUCGGCGGCGUGGCACCGGCUUUAAGCGUAGCAGAAUCUUUCGCUUUGAAAGUCGGGGCCCCGUCUGCCGGAAGACCUACUCGCAAGGUUGACCUCGGAUCAGGCAGGGAUACCCGCUGAACUUAAGCAUAUCAAUAAGCGGAGGAA
rnacentral:misc_RNA from 1 species